UUGAACGCUGGCGGCAUGCCUUACACAUGCAAGUCGAACGGUAACAGGUCUUCGGAUGCUGACGAGUGGCGAACGGGUGAGUAAUACAUCGGAACGUGCCUAGUAGUGGGGGAUAACUACUCGAAAGAGUAGCUAAUACCGCAUGAGAUCUACGGAUGAAAGCAGGGGACCUCCGGGCCUUGUGCUACUAGAGCGGCCGAUGGCAGAUUAGGUAGUUGGUGGGAUAAAAGCUUACCAAGCCGACGAUCUGUAGCUGGUCUGAGAGGACGACCAGCCACACUGGGACUGAGACACGGCCCAGACUCCUACGGGAGGCAGCAGUGGGGAAUUUUGGACAAUGGGCGAAAGCCUGAUCCAGCAAUGCCGCGUGCAGGAUGAAGGCCUUCGGGUUGUAAACUGCUUUUGUACGGAACGAAAAAGCUCCUUCUAAUACAGGGGGCCCAUGACGGUACCGUAAGAAUAAGCACCGGCUAACUACGUGCCAGCCGCCGCAGUAAGAC
rnacentral:rRNA from 1 species